AAUUCGAUUCGUAUUACCGCGGCUGCUGGCACGGAGUUAGCCGGGGCUUUCUUGGACAGGUACCGUCAUUAUCUUCCCUGCUGAAAAGGGCUUUACAACCCUAAGGCCUUCAUCACCCACUCGGUAUUGCUGGAUCAGGCUUUCGCCCAUUGUCCAAUAUUCCCCACUGCUGCCUCCCGUAGGAGUCUGGGCCGUGUCUCAGUCCCAGUGUGGCUGAUCAUUCUCUCAAACCAGCUACAGAUCAUUGGCUUGGUAGGCCAUUACCCUACCAACUACCUAAUCUGGCGCGGGCUCAUCCAUCAGCGAUAAAUCUUUCCUCCAAAGAGAAUAUACGGUAUUAGCAAUUAUUUCUAAAUGUUAUUCCGUACUGAUGGGCAGAUUCCCACGUGUUACUCACCCGUCUGCCACUAAUUUAUUUAAAGCAAGCUCUAAAUAAAUCCGUUCGACUUGCAUGUGUUAAGCAUACCGAAAGCGUUCGUUCUGAGCCAUGAUCAAACUCUAUCACUAGUGAAUUCGCGGCCGCCUGCAGGUCGACCAUAUGGGAGAGCUCCCA
rnacentral:rRNA from 1 species